rnacentral:rRNA from 1 species
AAAGGAGGGGCAAUACCGAAUAUUGUCCGGAACCGUGAAGGGUUUCGGGGAAAGGGAGGCCUCUGACACAAGCUUUCGCCUUAAGAUGAGCCCAUGGCCCAUCAGCUAGUUGGUAGGGUAAAGGCCUACCAAGGCUACGACGGGUCGCUGGUCUGAGAGGACGACCAGCCACACUGGCACUGAGAUACGGGCCAGACUCCUACGGGAGGCAGCAGUGAGGAAUAUUGCGCAAUGGGGGAAACCCUGACGCAGCAACGCCGCGUGUGGGAAGAAGGCCUUCGGGUCGUAAACCACUUUUACUCGGGACGAAAAAGGGAUAUCAAACAAAUAUCCCCGAUGACGGUACCGUGAGAAUAAGCCACGGCUAACUCUGUGCCAGCAGCCGCGGUAAGACAGAGGUGGCAAGCGUUGUUCGGAAUUACUGGGCGUAAAGAGUCUGUAGGUGGUUUGUCAAGUCUUUGGUGAAAGGCCGUAGCUUAACUAUGGGAAUGCCAAAGAGACUGGCAGGCUGGAGGCUGGGAGAGGGAAGCGGAAUUUCUGGUGUAGCGGUGAAAUGCGUAGAUAUCAGAAGGAAGGCCGGUGGCGAAGGCGGCUUCCUGGAACAGUCCUGACACUGAGAGACGAAAGCGUGGGGAGCAACAGGAUUAGAUACCCUGGUAGUCCACGCCCUAAACGAUGGGUACUAAGUGUGGAGGGGUUAAACCCUCCGUGCCGCAGCAACGCAGUAAGUACCCCGCCUGGGGAGUACGGCCGCAAGGUUGAAACUCAAAGGAAUUGACGG